GUUCAAUGUUAUUGGGAGUUUUGAUGGACUGACUUAGUCCAGACUGGAGAUCACAGACAGAAAAAGGACACUGAACUCAUGCAAGAGGGAACUGGCCAUGAUCUACAGGAGGGGACCCAGCCUAAAUGAAAGGUUCCAGGAGCACACAGGAAAUCCGUCUGGUCUCUUGCAGUGUGUGGAUAGAGCUGGAAACUCCUCCUGUCAAGCCAUUAACAUGGGGUGGGAGGGUAAAAGUUUUUUGUUCUGAGGUGAUGAUACCAGAGUGGCAGAGACAGAAGCUGUUCAACAGGAAACCCAGGCCCUCUAGUGGUUAAUUCUCAUGUUUUUGGACACAUUGGGUGUCCCAAAGAGGUGAUGAUUUGUACACCAAGCUGGGGAACCUGCUAUACUGUUUGCAUUUGUAGAUUUCCCCUCCACCCUCCAAU
rnacentral:lncRNA from 1 species